rnacentral:rRNA from 1 species
CUUGCACCGAGAUUCAACAGUGGAGGAGUGGCGGACGGAUGAGUAACACGUGGGUAACCUGCCCUUAAGUGGGGGAUAACAUUUGGAAACAGAUGCUAAUACCGCAUAGAUCCAAGAACCGCAUGGUUCUUGGCUGAAAGAUGGCGUAAGCUAUCGCUUUUGGAUGGACCCGCGGCGUAUUAGCUAGUUGGUGAGGUAAUGGCUCACCAAGGCGAUGAUACGUAGCCGAACUGAGAGGUUGAUCGGCCACAUUGGGACUGAGACACGGCCCAAACUCCUACGGGAGGCAGCAGUAGGGAAUCUUCCACAAUGGACGCAAGUCUGAUGGAGCAACGCCGCGUGAGUGAAGAAGGCUUUCGGGUCGUAAAACUCUGUUGUUGGAGAAGAAUGGUCGGCAGAGUAACUGUUGUCGGCGUGACGGUAUCCAACCAGAAAGCCACGGCUAACUACGUGCCAGCAGCCGCGGUAAUACGUAGGUGGCAAGCGUUAUCCGGAUUUAUUGGGCGUAAAGCGAGCGCAGGCGGUUUUUUAAGUCUGAUGUGAAAGCCCUCGGCUUAACCGAGGAAGCGCAUCGGAAACUGGGAAACUUGAGUGCAGAAGAGGACAGUGGAACUCCAUGUGUAGCGGUGAAAUGCGUAGAUAUAUGGAAGAACACCAGUGGCGAAGGCGGCUGUCUGGUCUGUAACUGACGCUGAGGCUCGAAAGCAUGGGUAGCGAACAGGAUUAGAUACCCUGGUAGUCCAUGCCGUAAACGAUGAAUGCUAGGUGUUGGAGGGUUUCCGCCCUUCAGUGCCGCAGCUAACGCAUUAAGCAUUCCGCCUGGGGAGUACGACCGCAAGGUUGAAACUCAAAGGAAUUGA